AUCAAUUUAUUUUUUUAUUUUCAUGCUUAAAUUUAUUUAUCAGUGUUCUUAAAGAUUUAAUAUUUUGACCAAAAACUUAUAUUUGUAUAUUAUAGUAGCGUAAUUUCUUUAAUAAAUAGACUUUAUAAAUCCUACUUCUUCAAAUUUUGGUCUGCAGCACUGGCAAACCCGUUAGUAGUAUCGGUUUUUUCACAAAAACCAAAGUGUUCAUUAACCUUCAUUGAAUGUAAA